rnacentral:rRNA from 1 species
GACGAAGGAUGCAAGCGUUAUCCGGAUUCAUUGGGUUUAAAGGGAGCGUAGGUGGCCUUAUAAGUCAGUGGUGAAAUCUCGCAGCUUAACUGUGAAAUUGCCAUUGAUACUGUAGGGCUUGAGUACAGAUGCCGUUGGCGGAAUAUGACAUGUAGUGGUGAAAUACAUAGAGAUGUCAUAGAACACCGAUUGCGAAGGCAGCUGACGAAAACUGUAACUGACACUGAGGCUCGAAAAGUGCGGGGGAUCAAACAGG